UACGUAGGGUGCAAGCGUUGUCCGGAAUUAUUGGGCGUAAAGAGCUCGUAGGCGGUCUGUCGCGUCGGCUGUGAAAACUCGGGGCUCAACUCCGAGCUUGCAGUCGAUACGGGCAGGCUAGAGUUCGGCAGGGGAGACUGGAAUUCCUGGUGAAGCGGUGAAAUGCGCAGAUAUCAGGAGGAACACCGGUGGCGAAGGCGGGUCUCUGGGCCGAUACUGACGCUGAGGAGCGAAAGCGUGGGGAGCGAACAGG
rnacentral:rRNA from 1 species